AGUCUGCUUGUGACAGAAGCAGCAGAUGAUCAGAAAUGGAGGGCGCUUUCUGACAAUGACACCAUCAUCCCACAGGGAAGGAACAUCUGACUCUUGGCUCCCACUAAGAUGCUGCCAGAGCGGCUGGUCUCAAAGGGCAAAACAACAGCCCCUGAUGGAAAGUCUUCACGACGCAGCCUCCGAGGUCCUUCCGCUCAAGGAUCAAACUGCAUCACGGAAGCUGCACACGAUGACACCCUGUCUGGAAAGUUUUUGCCAGAGGGCAAAAGACUGCAAGCAGAAUAUCCCUUUGCCAUUUCUCAUUCAGGACUGGCCGUUGUCUGAAAGCAAACCUCAAGGACAGGACUUCUGGACUCCGCAGCCACUUCAGGCUGCUGCUCCAUCGCAUGAAUUCCAGCAGGUGGCGCUGCACCCCGCGCGGACCCGGCUUGCCUCUCGGCCCCAGGGAGGUCGGUUGAUGAGCAGUCGGGAAGUGGGUCUGCGCGCACCCCGCUGCAGCUGUGGCAAACGCAAACGAUGACACACAGGCUUGACGAGGGCCUUUGUCAGAAGCAAUGGGGAUCUGGCGUCACCGCACAAUGGAAAACAAAGUGCUUCUGCCUGGCUGGCCAGAAUGCACGUUUGCUCACUAUUGAUGCUGGGGCAUUUACAGGCAGAAUGAGUUCAUGUGAAAUUUCAGGAUCUGCCAUGACUCAGAUUCACUUUCUGUAAACCAGAGUCAACAUUACAUUUCCCUUUACUCUGGGCCAUUCCUUGAAUUUUUAGGUCACCAGUUGUUUUUGUACUAACUGAAGGGAUUUGAGUAUUUCACAAGCACCUUAUUUUUAUUAGCAUUUUUAGGGCAUUACCAAUUUGGGACGGAUCUGUAGUGUGAGAGAUUGUUGUCACUCUUAGCUCCAAACAUAGGUUGACUUUAUAUAUUAUUUACAUGUUCAGAAUUAUACUGUGUAGAAAUUCAAAUGAAACUUGCAAAAUACUUUUCUGGCAGGAAGCCCUGGAGAGGAUCGUUCAUGGAAACAAGGAUGACGACUGGGGUAAGAAAUGCAGGUGACUCGUGAGUGGUCAGGGAGUGGAAGAGAAGACGGCUGGAAGGUUUUAGCAUUCAGAAAAAAAAUGGAGACAACUAGAGUUGAUCUGAAGAUUAUGGCAGAAUUCAAUAUUGGGGGAAAGAAACAAGAUGGGGGUUAGAAAUUAGAAACAGCAGAGCUCCACAGGUUGGAAAGGUUGGAAAGGAUUUGAGCAAGAGAACAAGGAGCCUGCUAAUAGCACCCUGGGUUUACAUCAAGAGAAGCACCUGGAGAGAAUUAACUCGGGAGGAGGUGGGGGCAUGGGAAACCUUUUCAUCUCCAAGAGCGGGCAGGAACAGCAGCUGGCCUGAACUUGAAGGUACACCAGGUAGCUUGCGUGGGCCAGGAGAAGGUGAUUCUCUUCUAUGCCUCUCUCCAACGCCCUGCUUCUGAUGCUGCUCCUCUACCUGUAUUGAGGGGAAGAUACAUCCCUAAGAAGUUCCCUGAACCCCAUUCUUUGUUGUGGCUAACUGGUCCCCUUGGAAUUUUUCUACUAAUUUUCAAUUCCCCCUCUCACC
ensembl:lncRNA LINC01554 long intergenic non-protein coding RNA 1554